GCUGGGGUGGCGGAAUGGUAGACGCGCUUGACUUAAGAUCAAGUAUCGCGAGAUGUGCGAGUUCGAGUCUCGCCCCCAGCACCA
rnacentral:tRNA from 1 species